rnacentral:tRNA from 1 species
GGUGACCAUAGUGUAGCCUGGUAGCAUUGAAGCCUGUGGAGCUUUAGGGGCGGGUUCAAAUCCCGCUGGCCACCC